rnacentral:lncRNA from 10 species
UUGAUAGAUGCCUGCACUCAAAUGUAAAAUAUGCAAACAUUCAAGCGAACGUAACUUUUACAUGCACAACUGUAUUUUUCCUCAUCUCAUCCAAAACUAGGAACAUUGGCAUAGGAAGACAGAAACCUCAGCUUUCAGAAUCCAAUAUACGAGGUGAAGAAGCAGUCAACACAACAAAGAAGAAAGGAGGAAAGCAAGUAGAGGAACAAGGAGGCAAAGGUCUUGCUUGACUCAUCUCUGCUGUGGUGACCUUGGAGGCUUCAUAUUCCAGAUUGCACAGCCAUAAGAUGAAAGAAGACUUCUCACUCACAUUAGACUCUGAGAAUCUCCAGUGUUGAAUAGAAUUGGCAAGUUUACACAUCUUUGUCUUCUCCUGACCUUAGGGGACAGCAUUCACUUUUUCACC